UUUUGCCCUCCUCUUGUGAGCCUUGCCUUAGGACCUUGAGUUCCCUUUGAACUUGGACACUUGAGGGUUAGCCUUUCCACAAUGCACCUGUCCUAAUCUGAUAAUGUAUUUGGGUGUGAGCAUUGCGUGGAAUCCCCUUUGAGGCUCUUAGGGAACUUUGAUACAUCCAAAUUGGAGAAAGGCUUUGGAUCAUGGUCUCUUGAAGUUAGUUUACCUUAUAUUUUAGAUAUGAAGUCUAAAUCAAGCUUUCUUUGGCUGUAAUUUUAAUUUAAUGUAUUUUUUUAACUUUAUUUUUGGCUAUAAUAAUUUGUAAUAAACUCUAGGGAUGGAUAGUGAAAAAGGGCAGGUAACUAUGUAUGCAAAAG
rnacentral:lncRNA from 1 species